AUAAUUUGAAAACGAUCCUUUCAUUUUGGCAUCGCAGGUGAAACAUGUGUUUUAUUCUAGGGAGAAUGAAACAUCUAGUUGGUAUAAUGCUUUGCAAGCAUAAUCAAAAGACUUUAACACAUUACAUAUGGAAGAAGAUAUUUCUCACGAGGCAACUAUUCCAUUAGAUAUAACACAACUUGAAGACAAUCAUGAUGAGGAUGAGAAUUAUGUAAGGAUAGAUGUCGAAGAUGUAUUAUGUGAUACAUAUAUUAAUUAGUUUGGUAAAUGUCCUUAUAAAUGACACAUUUUUUAAAUUGAUAAUUGCAGAUAAAUUGCAUUUGGUAUAAAGAUUGGUCUUCUGAAUUUAUUUCAACAUGUGAUAACUUUAUCGCAAAUUUUUGUUAUGAUGAUUAAUUAGCUAGGUAAAUCUCUCUCUUUUUGUUUGCAGAUUUCUAUUCUCUCUGAAGUGAUUAUUUUCGAAUUAAUUGAUAUUAUUAUACUUUAUAGGAUGGACGAAGCUCAGGUUUAGGUUAGUGUGUUUUUUUAUUCUUCUUAAGAUAUUUGUUAACUUUCGAGAAUAAUUAUAUUUAUAUUUGAUUUUCAUGUUGAAUUCUUUAAGCCAACUAAGAAAGUUUCCAAGAGUUCAAAACGUCAAAGAGCUGCAAUUGCCUUGCAAUUCAAGAGAUCGUCAAAAGACUAAGACUUUUAUUUGAACCAAAAAAUACUGUAUUAACUCCAAUUACAAAUGAGCAAAACUUGUUAUCGACAAAUAUAGAUGCUCCAAAAAAGAAAAGAGAUCCAAUCCAAGUGAAAACGAUUCCUGAUAAUAAUUAUCAUAAGAUGGAGCUUGAAUUUAAUGAAUUCGGGCAAGUAGUUGGCACUAACUUUGAUAAAUUUGCCAGCAUAGUUGGAGUCAUGGUACAAAAACAUGUGCCUAUUGUAAUUAAGGAUUGGUCUUGGGUAGGUGACAAGAAAAAAAAAUUUCAUACAGAUAAAUUUAUAUAUACGAUGACUUUAAUUCCUUUUAUUAUUUAUUAUAUCUAUUUCCUUCCUAAUGAGGUCAUUUCUGAUAUUUGUGUACAAAAUACAGCAAAGGUUCAAUGUGAAUGAUUUCCAUCAAAAAAUAAAAUUUCAAUGUAUGGGAAAGUGUUGGAGGACAUUCAAAUCAAGAUUUAGAAAAGAAAUCAGAAUUCAAACAGCACCAUCUGUGAAUAGAACACGCGUAAUUUCCCUUCUUAUACAGAAGAAUGUAAGUUCUGAAGAAGCAUGGAAAAAGUUUGUUGAAGAUAUUCUUUCUAAUGACUUUCAAGUAAGUUGUAUUUUCAUAUUGAGCUUCAAAUUUAUUCGAUUGUUGUUGCUCAAAUUUUUUGUUUUCUUAAUAGGAAAAAGUGCCAAGUUCAGCAAAAUGAGAACUAAUCAAAAGCUUCUAUAUACUAUGGGUCGAAAAGGUUUAUCAACACAUGGCUUACAAUUUGGUAUAUAUACAAAUUAUCUUUAAUUGUCCGUUCCUGCCUGUAACAAUUUUCUUAUUUAUCUUCGUUACUUUUAGUUUAUAUUAAGUUUGUUGCAUAUGUCCAAUGCUAAUACAUAUAAUUACUUGAUUUGUAUUGCAGAAAAAAGGUAUGCAGACAUAAAUGAGUUAAGAACUAGAGUGUGGACUUAUGGACAUUUUAGAAGGGAUAGAAAACCUAUAAAUGAAGCUAUUGCUGAAAUUUUGGUAUAUGUAUUAUAUAAACACUUUGUCUAUAAUAACUGAACUUACUAUAUAUAUCACUUGCUAGUGUAAAAUUUAAGUUCCAUAAGUGCAGAAAAAGAUAAAGGAUUUUGCCCAAUCUAUUUUUGAUAUACCAGCAAAAGAUUCCAUUUGCGAAGCUGCUGCUGCUCUAGUUCUAGGUCCCAAACAUCGUGAAAGAGUAAGGGGACUUGGAUUUAGAGUUACACCAUCAAAAGUUGAUGGACAAAUUCAAAGUAAGUCUCGAGUGAAAGAACUUGAAAGCCAACUGCAAACGCAGUCCGAUAGGGUGGGAGCACUAGAAGAAAAAGUUGAAGCACUUCUCAAGUUAUCCCAGGUAUAUACCUUAUCAUUUUCUAUAAUAUGAUAACAUAGGUUUACAUAACUUAGUACGUAGAAUAACCUUUUAUUUUUUGUAUUAUUUUACAGAAUCAAAAUAAGAAUGUAGAUGACAUGAGUUCAUGUGUUUUUACUCCUUAGGUUAAGUAUCUUAUUUUAUUUAUUGUUUGUUCAAUAUAAAUUCAGACUAUAUCGUACUAAUUUUAAAGGAAAUAUGUUCAUUUUACUGUGAAUUUGUAGUCCCAAAAAGGUAGUAUCUAGGGAGGUAAUGCACAUUUGCAAAAUUCAAGGUGUCAACUAUUGCAUUAGUACCAGAAUGAUGAGGAAGAAAUUAUAGUAAAAGGAAAGAUUGCAUCAACAGACCCAAGCGCAAAGGUGCAUCACAUGCCACUUGGACAAGAUUGUUGGAAGGUUUGGAUUGAGGAAGUGCAUAUGGGUCAUUUAACCUUAUGUAGACCUACUAAUGAAUUUUGAGUUCUUAAUGAAGCCAUGGGAAGUACUGUUGCUUGGCCAAAUAGUAGUAUUAAAUUCAUUUGAUGAAG
rnacentral:lncRNA from 1 species